rnacentral:rRNA from 1 species
GACAGAGGGUGCAAACGUUGUUCGGAAUUACUGGGCGUAAAGCGCGUGUAGGCGGCUUCGCAAGUCGGAUGUGAAAUCCCACGGCUCAACCGUGGAAGUGCAUUCGAAACUGCAAGGCUAGAGUUCUGGAGAGGAAGGUGGAAUGCUUGGUGUAGAGGUGAAAUUCGUAGAUAUCAAGCGGAAACACCGGUGGCGAAGGCGGC